rnacentral:rRNA from 1 species
GAGAGUUUGAUCCUGGCUCAGGAUGAACGCUAGCUACAGGCUUAACACAUGCAAGUCGAGGGGCAGCAUGAACUUAGCUUGCUAAGUUUGAUGGCGACCGGCGCACGGGUGAGUAACACGUAUCCAACCUGCCGAUGACUCGGGGAUAGCCUUUCGAAAGAAAGAUUAAUACCCGAUGGCAUAGUUCUUCCGCAUGGUAGAACUAUCAAAGAAUUUCGGUCAUCGAUGGGGAUGCGUUCCAUUAGGUUGUUGGCGGGGUAACGGCCCACCAAGCCUUCGAUGGAUAGGGGUUCUGAGAGGAAGGUCCCCCACAUUGGAACUGAGACACGGUCCAAACUCCUACGGGAGGCAGCAGUGAGGAAUAUUGGUCAAUGGACGAGAGUCUGAACCAGCCAAGUAGCGUGAAGGAUGACUGCCCUAUGGGUUGUAAACUUCUUUUAUACGGGAAUAAAGUGAGGCACGUGUGCCUUUUUGUAUGUACCGUAUGAAUAAGGAUCGGCUAACUCCGUGCCAGCAGCCGCGGUAAUACGGAGGAUCCGAGCGUUAUCCGGAUUUAUUGGGUUUAAAGGGAGCGUAUGCGGACGCUUAAGUCAGUUGUGAAAGUUUGCGGCUCAACCGUAAAAUUGCAGUUGAUACUGGGUGUCUUGAGUACAGUAGAGGCAGGCGGAAUUCGUGGUGUAGCGGUGAAAUGCUUAGAUAUCACGAAGAACUCCGAUUGCGAAGGCAGCUUGCUGGACUGUAACUGACGCUGAUGCUCGAAAGUGUGGGUAUCAAACAGGAUUAGAUACCCUGGUAGUCCACACAGUAAACGAUGAAUACUCGCUGUUUGCGAUAUACAGUAAGCGGCCAAGCGAAAGCGUUAAGUAUUCCACCUGGGGAGUACGCCGGCAACGGUGAAACUCAAAGGAAUUGACGGGGGCCCGCACAAGCGGAGGAACAUGUGGUUUAAUUCGAUGAUACGCGAGGAACCUUACCCGGGCUUGAAUUGCAACUGAAUGAUGUGGAGACAUGUCAGCCGCAAGGCAGUUGUGAAGGUGCUGCAUGGUUGUCGUCAGCUCGUGCCGUGAGGUGUCGGCUUAAGUGCCAUAACGAGCGCAACCCUUAUCGAUAGUUACCAUCAGGUUAUGCUGGGGACUCUGUCGAGACUGCCGUCGUAAGAUGUGAGGAAGGUGGGGAUGACGUCAAAUCAGCACGGCCCUUACGUCCGGGGCUACACACGUGUUACAAUGGGGGGUACAGAAGGCAGCUACACGGCGACGUGAUGCUAAUCCCUAAAGCCUCUCUCAGUUCGGAUUGGAGUCUGCAACCCGACUCCAUGAAGCUGGAUUCGCUAGUAAUCGCGCAUCAGCCACGGCGCGGUGAAUACGUUCCCGGGCCUUGUACACACCGCCCGUCAAGCCAUGAAAGCCGGGGGUACCUGAAGUGCGUAACCGCGAGGAGCGCCCUAGGGUAAAACUGGUGAUUGGGGCUAAGUCGUAACAAGGUAGCCG